rnacentral:ribozyme from 1 species
CCUUUCCAAGGAUCGCCACCUUGACGUGGUGGAAAGGCUUCUGUGUUCCAAUGAUCCCAAGAGCAAAUCAAUCUAGAGUUUAAAUGCUCUUUAGAUUGGCCUGCUUUGGAGUGAGGUUCCAACUAAGUGCGAU